rnacentral:hammerhead_ribozyme from 2 species
GUUCUGUCGCAAAGUGAAUGCUUUGCCUGAUGAGUCCACAAGGACGAAACAGAAA